CCUUCUGUCACAGAAGAGGCGUACUACGCAAAGAGUAAGGGUGUGAACUGGAAGCUGGGAGAGCUGGCUUGAUUCCCUUCACCGGCCAUCACUGGAGUGCGUCACUUGAUAUCAAGGAUUUCCGUUUAUCAACUACGAAGUGAUGUCCCUUAGGUUGAUACAGCUAUGGAGAUUAUAGCUUUCAAAGUGUUUGAGAGGAACCAUAUUUUAUAAAUUCAACAUUGCUGACUGCUGAAGGCACUAUCUUCAUGCUAUAUUUUGCCAUGUGGCUGAAGGUCUUGUGAAGGUGGUCUUCAGAGUAUCUGCGUAUUAUCUUUGGCGAUGGUAUCAAAGGCUGCUUCAGGUUGAAGUAGGGUAGCAAUUUUCCUCAGCCCCUGAUGCAUCUGGCUCACGUGGGAUCUAUUCCAACAGCAUGAUAACCACAAUAAUCAAGGUCUGCAGAGAGGCUGUAAAAGCACAGAGGACAGCUCCCAACUUAAGCUGUGGGAAUCUUUCUAAAACACAAGGUGUGGCUGAAGCUGAGGCCGUAUGGAGAGAUGGUGGGAGAUGAGGCUAAUACGGUGCAGGGACCAGACCAGAAAAGGCCAGCUUUGGCUAUUAUUCUGAUACGCAGCAAUCCAGACAUUACAGAACAGAUGUGCUGUGUAGAGGAGAGACCUACACAGCUCUCCUGUGUUAGAUAGUCCUCAAUUGUGUGACCUUGGGACUAAGACUGAAGCUAGAAGAUACCAAAAAAUUCAUCAACUGAGUUGGAAAAACAUUAGUCAGACUCUUG
rnacentral:lncRNA from 1 species